rnacentral:lncRNA from 1 species
CCUACUUGUCCUCCAUCUUGUGGCUAUUCUCGGCCUAGAGUUUCAUGUUGUCUGUCUUCUAGAAAGUCUUUUAUUGUUUCAUCAGGGCGCAAUGCAGACGCAGUGCAGGCGUGACCUCUCCUGCCCAGCCUCUCCCUGGCACUUGACAUCCUGUUGACAUCCGUCUCCCCUCUAAACUAAGGAAUGCGAGUGGUAUUUAUUUUUAUAUCCGCAGCAGCUCAGUUCCCACUAAAAAUAUCUAAUACUUACUGAGCUCUAUGUGUCAGUCACCAAGCACUUUACACGUAGAAUUGCA